GAAAAGGAAGUGUUUUACUUUUAGCCAAUUUGCAAACAGAACAUGAAAUAGAAGCAGUACAAACAUGUUUAUUUCCCAACAAACCAGUUUUAAAUAAAUGAGACAAAACAACAGAAUUUGGAUGACCCAAUUUUCUAUGCCAAUCCUCAUAAGAGUUCAAAACACUAUUACUAGCAAAAGAUAAAUGACUAGAGCUAAACUGGAGCG
rnacentral:lncRNA from 1 species